GGAAAGAAGGAAGAAGAGAGGGAGGAGGAUGAGAUGGCCUCUCUCUCUUUCUUGCGCUCUUUCCCUCUUCUAAGCUUUUCUCUUGUUAGUGUUGCUUUCGCUCCAACGUAGAGUUGAUGGAUUUAAUCCAAUCAAUAAUUUUUUUAAGGAAUGCGUCUCUAUUAAGUUUAAUAAAAAUUAGAGAGAAAUGGACACUAACAUCCUAUUCAAUCUAUUCUUUUAAUUUCCCAACGGAAAGUUAGUAUCUUGAUCUUAGAUAUCUCAUUCCAAGUCCCACUUGCCGCCGGUUUUACAAGAAUGUCAAGAAAAAAUUUAUAGAAAGAAAGAAAAAAGUAAUCUUUCUCUAUAAUCGAAAACCAAACAUGUAGAACACAGCUCAAGAUCCGAUCUUUUCUCCCCUAACGUCCAAAACAGUCGCUAAUAUCACCCCUCA
rnacentral:lncRNA from 1 species